UUAACAAGUCUCCAGAAAACCAAUUUUUUUAUAGAUAAGAACACAAGAAUUACUGUUAUCUCUUAUCUUUUAACAGGAAUUUUGUAGAAGAUGAGCAUUCUUCAUUUCAAAAAUAAUUGGAGAAGAUUAGCUGUGAUCUUUCAAACACAAAACGACAUAGAUGCUUGUAUUAAGUAUCUAUACGGGGAGGAAUAUCUACAACUUAAGCUGAAGCAGUUAACAACUUAUCUUUAUGUUUUAUGUCAAACUUCUAGAAGAAAAGGCAAAAAUGAAAAUGAAACGUUACAUAACCUCAAUUGUAUGCCAAAAGAGAAAAAACGAAAAAAAAAAAGAAAGAAAGAAAAGAAAAGAAGAAAAAGAAGCCAAGUAGAGGCAACACCUUGAUUAAGACAGGUAUUUUUUUUCAGGUAAACUCUGGAAAGAAUUAGCAGUGGAGGACUUUUUAUAUAAGAUGCAUUGGAAGAUAUUCCAAAGUAUAUAAUUGUUAAGAACAUUUUUAGCAACAAGAGCCAAAAGUACCUACAUUUAUGUAUUUUUUUUUGUAUAGAUUCUUUGUGAAAACUUUAACAGUAUAUCAAAGAAGAGGGAUCCCUGGGUGGCGCAGCGGUUUGGCGCCUGCCUUUGGCUCAGGGCGCGAUCCUGGAGACCCGGGAUCGAAUCCCACGUCGGGCUCCCGGUGCAUGGAGCCUGCUUCUCCCUCUGCCUGUGUCUCUGCCUCUCUCUAUCUCUCUGUGACUAUCAUAAAUAAAUAAAAAUUAAAAAAAAAAAACA
rnacentral:lncRNA from 1 species